rnacentral:rRNA from 1 species
AUUGAACGCUGGCGGCAUGCCUUACACAUGCAAGUCGAACGGUAACAGGUCUUCGGAUGCUGACGAGUGGCGAACGGGUGAGUAAUACAUCGGAACGUGCCCGAUCGUGGGGGAUAACGAAGCGAAAGCUUUGCUAAUACCGCAUACGAUCUAAGGAUGAAAGCAGGGGACCGCAAGGCCUUGCGCGAACGGAGCGGCCGAUGGCAGAUUAGGUAGUUGGUGGGAUAAAAGCUUACCAAGCCGACGAUCUGUAGCUGGUCUGAGAGGACGACCAGCCACACUGGGACUGAGACACGGCCCAGACUCCUACGGGAGGCAGCAGUGGGGAAUUUUGGACAAUGGGCGAAAGCCUGAUCCAGCCAUGCCGCGUGCAGGAUGAAGGCCUUCGGGCUGUAAACUGCUUUUGUACGGAACGAAAAGCCCCGGGUUAAUACCCUGGGGUCAUGACGGUACCGUAAGAAUAAGCACCGGCUAACUACGUGCCAGCCGCCGCCGUAA